UACGGAGGAUGCGAGCGUUAUCCGGAUUUAUUGGGUUUAAAGGGUGCGUAGGCGGGCUUUUAAGUCAGCGGUAAAAAUUCGGUGCUCAACGCCGUCGAGCCGUUGAAACUGGCGUUCUUGAGUGGGCGAGAAGUAUGCGGAAUGCGUGGUGUAGCGGUGGAAUGCAUAGAUAUCACGCAGAACUCCGAUUGCGAAGGCAGCAUACCGGCGCCCUACUGACGCUGAGGCACGAAAGCGUGGGUAUCGAACAGG
rnacentral:rRNA from 1 species